rfam:Brassica oleracea var. oleracea cultivar TO1000 chromosome C4, whole genome shotgun sequence
AUACCUUUCUCGACCUUUUGGCUGAGAUCAAGUGUAGUAUCUUUUCUUAUCAGUUAAUAUCUGAUAUGUGGGCCACUGGUACGCUUGAUAUUAACUUUAUUAUUUUUGGGAAAAAGUCCACUGCACUAAGAUGGGCUUUCAAGAGUUGCCCAUGCGUUGCACCACUGUACGGCCUUGGCUCAACCCAC